UACGGGGGGGGCAAGCGUUGUUCGGAAUUACUGGGCGUAAAGGGCUCGUAGGCGGCCAACUAAGUCAGACGUGAAAUCCCUCGGCUUAACCGGGGAACUGCGUCUGAUACUGGAUGGCUUGAGUUCGGGAGAGGGAUGCGGAAUUCCAGGUGUAGCGGUGAAAUGCGUAGAUAUCUGGAGGAACAUCGAUGGCGAAGGCAAUCACCUGGGCCUGGACUGACACUGUGACACGAAAGCGUGGGUAGCAAACAGG
rnacentral:rRNA from 1 species